rnacentral:misc_RNA from 1 species
AAUUAAUGUUAAACAUAAAAUGGUAAUGUAGCAGUGAAGAAGCUAAUCACUCAAUACAAGAUAACAAAUGAGAACUAUAGAAGAUCUAGGUUUCCUUUGGGGGAGCCUUCUUUGCAGCCUCUGCUGCUGCUUUCUCUGCUUCAAUCUCAGCAACAAUUGCAUCAAUUUCUGCUUCUUCAAGCUGUCGCAGGCCAUGCUCUUUUGUCAUCACAGCUAUUUCUAUGUUCUUACCCCCACUCUCAACAACUUCAAGCAAAGC